GCGCUGGUGGUCUAGUGGUAUGACAAGAGCCUUCCAAGCUCUCGACCCGGGUUCAAUUCCCGGCCGGCGCA
rfam:Halorhabdus tiamatea SARL4B complete genome